UCCACCUCCCACCCCUAACCUCCCACCUCCCGACCCUACCCUACACCAAAUACCAGGCACCACUCAGGAAACUUCUCUUUCCGUUCUCUAACUUCCCCAAGACCCUGUCAGGCAUGGAACUCUCUGUAUCCUCUGUGGACACCCACCUACCUGUGGCAGGGCCUAGGAACACACAGGACUCGGCUCUCUCAAGAGAUUCCAAGUGGACCGAGGACAGGAAGCCUUCCUUCAAUGAGCACUGAAAGUCUCCAGAGGCUCUCCUCCACACGGCUGACAUCUUCCAUGAUGAAGCCUAGAAGAAAAUCACUCUCCCUGCCACCUAGAGACAAGCCUGUCUAUGCUCUUCCAAAUCUCCCUCUCUACAAAGCUUCCUGGAGACUUUUGCUGUGGCUGAAAAGGGAGCUUCCUGGGGAUGGGGGUGGGUGUGGAGGACCUGACUUCAUGGACCUGCCUGUCAGGCCACUUUAAAGGACGGUACUGCCACCUUC